CUAGUGGGGAGUAACGUAGACGAAAGUUAACGCUAAUACCGCAUANCUUUUUUUUUUUGGAGCAGGAAAGCAGGGGAUCGCAAGACCUUGCGCUGAUUGAGCGGCCGAUAUCAGAUUAGCUAGUUGGUGAGGUAAAGGCUCACCAAGGCGACGAUCUGUAGCGGGUCUGAGAGGAUGAUCCGCCACACUGGAACUGAGACACGGUCCAGACUCCUACGGGAGGCAGCAGUGGGGAAUUUUGGACAAUGGGCGCAAGCCUGAUCCAGCCAUGCCGCGUGAGUGAAGAAGGCCUUCGGGUUGUAAAGCUCUUUCGGCCGGGAAGAAAUCGCACGGGUUAAUACCCUGUGUGGAUGACGGUACCGGAAUAAGAAGCACCGGCUAACUACGUG
rnacentral:rRNA from 1 species